UGGGAGGGGGGUUCAGGAUGGGGAACACGUGUGCACCCAUGGCGGAUUCACGUUGAUGUAUGGCAAACCCAAUACAAUAUUGUAAAGUAAAAAAAAAAUCAGAACAUAAAUAAGCAAGAUAAAGAAUCUUGAAGACUCCCCAAAGAGUAAAAAAGUUUAAAAAUGAUGCCAAAAUACUUAAUGCUUUAAACAUGCUGGCCCUUUAAGAAAAACUCUUCAGCCAUGGGAAAUAAAAUUUGUUUAAUUAAAAUAAAAUAAAAUUAAAUAAUUAAUUAAAUAAAAUUACAAUUUGUUGGAGAGAGUCAAGUUGCAAAUUAUGUACUGUAACCACCUAUAUAUACAUGUAUUUCAAAUAGUUUAAAAGAAAUCAGUCUUCUAGAAACUGAAGCAUCCAACUAACUCCCUUUUUGGAAAGGGACAUUUCCAAUACAAAGACUUAAAUUUAACACAGUUAUUAAAACAUGGAUUAAAAGGUAUAUUUUUACAAACCAAUGUGCAUAUACUUAACAUCUAUAGCUAUAAACUUAAAAAUGAUUAACAUGAUUUAGAAAAAAAAACAUGUAUUACCCUAAUAGUAAAAAAAGGUAUAUAUUAUCCUAAUUAGUAAAAAAUUAAAACAAUGUCUAAAUAAAUCCUUAAUAAAAAUAUAAAAAGUACUUCUGCUUUCUAAUACUAAACCAAUUCUCUCUAAAAAGCUUUUGGAUCAGAAAAGAAAAAAAAUGUAAGAGUUUAAUAACAGCAGUUCCUUUUGAUAAAUUACAAGGAAUAAAUAAACGCAAUUCAGCAUUUGGUCAACAACUACUCAGAUAAUGGUUCCACAAACCCCGUAUUCACAUUUUAAGUUUUAAGAGUUUUAAUUAUUUAGUACAAGAAGGUUAUAUAAAAAUCUAUAUUUCAAAUUCACCUAAUACUACUAAUAAAUUAUGAAUUUUGGUUUUUUAAAGUUAUACAUCUGAUUUUAUCAUAAUGUGCAAUAUAAUUUAAAUAUAACAUCUUAGUUAUGCGAUUUUUAUCCUACCACGAGCUUGACUGAAUAGGAUGUCCUAAACUUCUUAUACUUGCCAGGUUAUCAUUACUUACAUGGUGUAUUUAAGACGGUAAAUACAAGCCAGAGUAUUUCAUGAGUUACAAAUAAUGGCUUCAUGUAAAACCCUGCAAGUUAUGCGAACCAAUGGACUCACCCCACCUCUUGUGCCUGGAUAAGGUUUACAGUGUCGCAUUUCCCAUAAGUUUUUAAUAAUAACCAUGAUAUGUAUUUUUUAAUGUCAACAGA
rnacentral:lncRNA from 1 species